UUCCCAUGUGAAAAAUGUCCUUCUUAUAUGAAAUGCAAUAACCUUAUUAUCAUCAAUAAUGUGAACUUGAAACUGAGAGAGCACUGUGCAGACCUUGUUAUAGUAACUCUAAUCUUUCAAGCCUCCCUACAUAAUUAGUUGCUUUUCACAAAUCACUAUUCUUUGUCCAAUUCAGUAUAUAAGAGAUUGACUCUUAACUGCUUUCCUUUAUGAGGGUUCUUCAUUCUUUAUGAGGGCUCACGUGUCUCAUAAAACUUGUAUUAGAUAAAUUUGUAUGCUUUUCUCCUCUGAAUAUAUCUUAUGUAAAUUUAAUUCUCAGGCACAGCCAGAACCCUAAGAGGAUGAAGGUGGAAUUUUGCUACAUCGAUAGCUCCUUUCUUUAGGAUUCAAGGAGUCUAAAGCAAAAUGUUAGAGAAUGAUAUUGGAGGAAUAAAAAUACUAAUUUGUGUUUUAUAAAAAGGAAGAAUAUGGCUGGGUGCAGUGGCUCACACCUGUAAUCCCAGCGGCUUGGGAGGUGGAGGCAGGAGGAUCGCGAGUUCAAAGCCAGCCUCAGCAAUUUAGCGAGGCGCUGAGCAACUCAGUGAGACCCUGUCUCUAAUAAAAUACAAAAUAGGGCUAGGAAUGUGGCUCAGUGGUGGAGUGCCCCUGAGUUCAAUCCCUGGUACCUCCUCCCAAAAGGAAGAAUAUUAUGUACUUUUGAAUAUUUCAUGUCAUUAACAAACCACUUAGACCCCGCUUUGCAGCUACUGAUGCAGAGCUGCCUUGGUGGAUAUCAGCUCUUGUACCCUGCGAUGGCCAUGAAAGUUCAUGGCAGCCUCAUCUUGGACCCAGAAGAAUCCAUAAUUAAGGCCCCAAAGGACUAAGAUAGUGCAAACAUUUAAUUUAUGUUCCCUUUAGUUGUCCUGGGCCAAAAGGUCAAGAUGUCGUCUCCAUGUUUUCUCCUUCAUUCCAAGUGCCUGGCUGAUUCUAUCACCUCUCCUAUGCUUGAGAUAAAAAAUGCCAUUUCACUUUGGUUUGUUCCCAGCCACCUUGAGUCUUUUGUGUUUUGGAGGGAAGCAACUACAAGUUAAAUCAUUCUCUAGUCACUAACAUCCAUCAAUUUUCACAAUCAGGGUAGACAGAUUUUUAUUUGCUAAAACUCAGCUUCACCCACUUGGAACUAAUGGUCUGAAAAAGCCAGAUUGGGGACCAUGUGUUGCCAAAGCAGAAUUACUUUAGCUGGGAUAUGCCAGACAAGCGCUCUACCACUAAGCCACAACCCCAGCCCUAUCUCCUGCUUUUAAGAAACAGACAGGUUCAUAUUAUUCUGACAAUCAUCUUUAUGUAGGCAAAGCCAGGUGAAACUUACCUGUUGAAGAGCUUUGCCUUUGGCAUAGAAUGGACGUGAUUUUGAGUCUAAGCUCUGCUGCUUCCUACCUGUGUAAUCUUCAGCAAAUUACUUGACCUAAGAUUUAGUUUUCUCAUUUAUAAAAUUUGUUAAUUCAUCUAUGCAUACAUACUUGUUGAGCAUGAACUGGCAUACAUAGCAUAAAUGCUCACAAAUAUGAUUGUGGCAGGGAAAGCUGAUGCUUACCAAAUCCAUGUUCUCCCUCUCUUCUAGGCUCAGAGCUAGACUACAUUUCCCAACUUUCCUUGCAGAAUGAAGAUGGCCCAGGGUGACUAUGGAAACCCUGUGUUGGAGAUGGCAGUUCUGCUGUCAGCCUGAGCCUCUGAAGGACUGUGGAGGAGGACAUGCUAGUGGUUUGUUUACCUGCCCAGUACUAUCAUGUGAGUAAGAAAUAAAACUCUGUGGCAAUGAGUCCUUUUCCAUUUUGGGAUCGGUUUGAUAAAGCAAAUAGUCUAAUCAGACUAAGCAGUUAUUACCAUUAUAAAUUUGUAUAAAGCUGCAAUUUUAUGAAGAAGUCAGCUUGUACCAGCUCACAAGAGCUAAUGGUUAAAUUUGCAGUAGUUUCAUGAGCCAUUCAAUGUCGUAUUCCUAGUUUAAAGGCAGCCAUGAUGGGAAUGGUUAUACCACAGAUAUUGCCAGAUACUACAAACCAGACCCCCUUUUCCCCACUGGAACAUUUAUCAGCAUACUACAUACAGGGAAUAGACCAUUUUCCUUUUUCGUUGUUCCAAAGCUUAACAACCUAGCACAUUUUAUAUUUGUGUGACCCAAAAAGUUUUUGUGGCUAUGAAUCAGGAUUAAACUUGAAUAAAUUACGAGAGGAAACAUAAAAGGAUAAAAGCUAAUAGUUAGGAUUAAAUGAAAUGUGGAGAAGGGGGAAGAACAGUCUAGUCUUUGCCCUUCUAAAAUAAGAAUAUCUUGGGCUAGGGAUAUAUUUUUAUGUCUUGAUUCUCUUUAGAAAUUUCAGGUCUUCAACCUCCUUUACCUCCCCUAUACCUUGAUUGGUUGUCACUGGUUUCUAUCUGCAAGUGAGUGUCUUCUGAAGCACACUCAUUCUCCCCUCACUCCCAAGCACUUCAUAAUGACAAGUGCUGGUAAGGUGUCUUCAUGCUUCUAUAAUAGAGGCCCAAGACAGCUGGGCUCCCCAGAUAGCAGACCUUGAGUUGAAGAGUCAAAUGCAAAUUAUUUAUCUGGAAUGUGAUGCCAGGAAAUGGCCUGAAGGAAUAGGAAAGAAGGGGAGCAGGGAAGGGGAGGCAAUCAAUGAAAGAGAUGUUAGCCAGCUGUGGGCAGCUGGAGAAACUGUCAGGCAAUAUAGAACAUGCAUUUCAGAGUUCAUGCUCCAAAAUGGGAUAAGGGACAUCUUUCAGUCAUCGGUCAGUGUAGUGCCAUAUGCCUAAGACUCCCAUAACCUCUUCAGACAACCAGACUGUCUCUGUUCUUUCACAACCUAACCCUAAGAAUCUCCUUACUCUGCCAAGUCUUCCUUGGUUUAUCAGAAGUGAUUUAACUCCUUUAUUCUGGACUUCCAUGUAUUUUCUUAGCAGGCCUUGACUGUGACUUCCAAUCACAUAUCAUCCAGACUUCUGUAUGCACCUAGUUCCCUUUGGUACAUUCUUGUACAAGAAAAAUUUAAAUCACAAUGUCAAAACUUAAAUGAGGAUCCUUCUGUUAUAGUACAACAUGAUUAUGAUUGUCUUGGGUUAAAUAUAUGUUUUAUUAGAAUUUCUGCACUGUGGUAGACACAAAAACUGGCCCUAGUGAAUAUGUUGUCCUACAUGGCUAAAGGGACUUUAUAGAUGUGAUUAAAAAUUUUCCUGGAUUAUUCAGGUGGGCCCAAUAUGAUCAUAAGAGUUCUCAUAAGAGGAAAGUAGAAGGGUCAGAGUCAGAGAAGGGGAUAUAACCACAGAAGCAGAUCUAAGUAAUGAAGAGCCAUGAGAGAAAAUGGGGGCAACUUCUAAAAGUUGGAAAAGUUCUAAAUCCUACAGAAAGAAUGCAGCUGUGCCAACGCCUUUAUAUCAGCCUGUAAGGUCCAUUCAGACUUCUUCCCCCUAUAACUGUAAAAGAGUAAAUUUAUGUUGUUUUUAAGCCACCAAGUUUGUGAUAAUUUGUUGUGAUAGCAAUGUGAAACUAAUACAUGUUUAAGUUUUUAAAGUUAUCUAUUUUCAAAUUGCUUUUUGGAGAUCCAGCAUAAUUGUGAUGGUUGUCCUUUUUCAGUUGAUUUCAGGAAUCAACUUUGUGGAUUAACUGAAACCAAAUCAGGAUUCCAAAUCAAGGCUACUAUCUGAGGUCCACUUUCAUUAUUGGCUGGAGGCUUCUCAGGGCAUAAGCCCUCGCCUCACACAUAGAUAGGUAGGCUACAUGGUGGGCUAUUGCCCCAGGGAAAUUGGUUGUUGAUGGCGCCUGCAGAUUGUGGUUCAGUUAUUCUGGAUUAACUGCUGCCUUUGAUUACCUGCACAUUUGUGUGUGUGUGUGUGUGUGUGUGUGUAUAAUCCUUCAUCCAGAUAAUUAAAACUUCUCCUGAACAUGCUGUGUUCUUGGGCACUUGAAAUCCUAUGGUUUUACUCCUCUGUUUCUUGGGGAGUGCCUUUAAAGCACCAAUAACUUUUGUGCUUGCCAAAUCACUUGGCUAAUUCAUGAAUGUGCUUCAUUCUGGAUAAUAAAAGCGAAUGUUUCCUGAACACUUCACUAUGCCAAACUCUAGGUUGAGCACUUUUUAUUUUCAUUGCACUUUUGAAUACUCACUCUGAGCUGCGUGCACUAUGGCUCCCCACAUUUUACAGAUGAGGACAUGAGGCUUGGAGAGGUUUUGUGGCUUGUGGACACUCCCAUGGCUCAGGCAUGGCAGAAUUCUACCCAGAAGCCAAGCAGCUCAAUUCUCAAACCCACACUUCUAAUCAGCAAUGAUAUUAUUACACUUUUUUGGAAAUGACUUAAGUUUUUUUCCCCCAGAAUUAGAGCUGAAGUUAGCAUCUUGCUUUAACUGGGAGUAAAAAAGGCCAAGAGUCAGGAAGCCAAAAUGACUCCUUUAUUAACUAUUGCAUUUUUCUCCUGGACACAUGCUUGUGAUGCAUAAGAAGGACUCUGUGUGUGGUGGUCCUAUUCUCCUUUCUAUUUCAGGAUACUGAACUUGACCUCCACCAUGCAAAGAAGUGAAGUUUAGGAUUCUUUAUUAAUGUUUAGUGAUCAAAAUGGAUUUAAAAGGGUUCUUGUUUGUGUCCAUUGGUGUCUCAGAGAAAAGGCCUAAUUAAUAAAAAAGUCAGUUACUGUUUUUUUCUGCAUUUCAGCUCCUGUAGUUCAGUUGUAUUUCCCAUCUGCUUUGCCUGUCGAUGGCACUACCCUGCUGUUCAGUUGGACUGAUGGCUAGGUAGCCUUCAAAUACUUGAGCGUUCCUUCCUUUUAUAUUAGAGGCCAAAAUGCCAACACAGGGCUUGAUGAGGGGUGAUUUUUCUCCUCAUGGGACAUUUGGCAAUAUCUGUAGACAUUUUUGAUUAUCACAACCUGGGGGAGGAUGCUACUGGUAUCUAGAGUGUUGUAUUAGUUUGGUGUAUGCAUCAAAAUGCCACAAACUUGGUGGCCUAAACGAACAGAAAUUUAUCCUCUCACACUUCUCGAGAUCAGAACUCUGAAAUGGAGGUGCCAGCAUGGUUGAUCCCUCUAGAGGCUCUCCAAGGGAGAGUCCUUUCCAUGCUUCUCUCCUAGAUUCUGGUGGCUGCUGCUAUGGUUGGUAUUUUGUGGCUUGUGCCUACAUCACUCCAGUCUCUGCCUCAGACUUUAUAUGGCAUUCUUCUCUGUCUUUCAUCUCAAAUCUCCCUUUCCUUUCUCUUAUAAGGACACCUGUCAUUGCAUUUAAGGCCUGCCCUGAACUAGGGUGAGCUCAUUCUGAGAUCCUUAACUUGAUUACAUCUGCAAAGACAAAUGCUAUUUCCAAAUAAGGUCACAUUCACAGAUGCUGCAGGUUAGGACUUGGACAUAUCUUUGAGGGAGAUGCCACUUAACUUGUUACAUGGAUAGAGGCCAGGGAUGCUGAGAAACACUCCACAAUGUCUGGGAAAGCUUUAAAACAAAGAGAUUGAGAAACACUGCUCUGCCCUGAAUGAAAAAUUUUACUGAAGCAGAGAACACCUCUCCCCAUGUCUCAAGCUCUUCAACCAGCCAUGACACCCAGUGCCACCCAGUGUAGGCUAUGCAGCCAGUUGCCAAGUGGCACCUCCAUGUUCUGCAGUGUUAACCAUCAUUUCCAAUAUGUGGAGGCCAUUUGUGCCCAGUAGGUGGCAUUCAAAUACCCCAUAUAACUAAGCCUAGCAAGCAGAUAGCACAAAGGGUAAAAGAUUAAUGCAACUUUCAGAAAUGUGUGGAUUCAGGUAUAUAAAUCUAUAAUUUGCAUCUCUCUCUUCAAUGCAACUUAAGAAUCUCUGGUUUCCUAACAUAGAUUCUCAAGAUUUCUGCCUUCUCUAUCCCCCUUAUGUACCUUAAUGAUUAGUCUAUUUGGAGAAAGUGGGAAUUUAUACCAGGGUGUCCCAAAGUUUUCUAUACAGGGCUGGAUAAUAAACAUUAUAGACUUUGUAGACCAAGAGGCAAAACUGAGAAUAUCAUGUAGGUACUGAUAUAAUAAGGGAGACAAAUCCUGCCACACCCUGCCAGGGUGGCUGGUGCUGGGUGGUGGACUUUGUGUCCAGUUACCAUUUGUUGCAGACUUUCUCAGGAGGAAGAGUGGCUGACUCUAAUGUUGGAGCCUGGCUCUAGGGGUGACAGGGAGGCAGGUGGUGAGUGGGAUUGGAGGAGGCUUGCUACCUUGAUCAGUUUUCUCUUUACCUUUUGACACCCAGGUCCUGGUGUACCCUUCUGUACUCCUGGAGAGCUGGGCCAUUUGACUUUGUAGCUGGCCAGAAGGCUCCUAGACUGCUCUGUGCUUAGCAGUUGUUAACAGCAGAGGCCUCAAUGUGUAGAUGUUGGCCAGAAUAGCUCCGGAGUAGUAGCUACUGACCUGGGACGCAGAUUCUGGAAGCAGAGGCAGAAAUAGGAGUGGAGGAUGGUGCCCUGGCUGGUAUCCCAGCUCAUAGUGCCAGUCUGUUCCUGCAAUGUCUUCCAGCUACACAGACACAGGCUGUGGGCUGGAUUUGGCCCACAGGCUAUAGAUUGCCAGACCCUGGCUUGACCAUAUGACAAAUACUCAAUUAGUCCUUUUUGGAUUCACAAACUGAAUGUUUCAUUUGUGAAAGCAUAAUGUCGAAAGCAGUGAGAACCAUCUGAUUCCCUUUUGUUAAGCCAGUCCCUGGGUUUUUAUAGAUAAUAUGUCAAGGUUUAGAAAAAUGGGCACUGCAAUUUCUCUUUGCAAAUUAAUAGACAGGCCAAAAGGUACAUGGGAUAUGGAUGCUGAAAGAGAUGUUUUUGCCUUUUGUGUUUUGAAGUUUAGCAUCUUUCCUUGUAAACCCCCAAUCAUCUUAUUGGAGUACAUAAUCCUGCAAAAAUUCAGGCACUGGAGAUCAGAUCCUAUUUAUUCUUGUGAUAUAUAGUUUAGUUCUGGCAAACUAAUGUUUUGGGAAUGAUGACCAAUGAAUUUAUCUUGUCUUUUACUAUAUAAUCCUCAAAGACAAAUAUUAGAAGCAGUGUGUUUGGAAAGAAUAAAAGAGCAGCACACUCCAACAUCCAAAGUUUUAAAUGUCAUGAACUGCAUGCCGCAUGAGCCAACCAUCUGGCAUUUGCAAUGUGGAUGCACUGGGUAAGACAAAAUGCCUUCAUAGUCAAACCCCAGAAAAUCGUCUGUUAUCACAGUAGCGACUGCUGUCUGCCAGAAAGUAUUCUUCCCUUGCUUAGAAACAUCAUCAAAAUGCGUUCUAAAAAAUGAGAUGCCACUUCCCAUUUUAUUUCUCUGACCUCAUCCUCCUUUGGAUAUGAACUUCCCAGUCCUCUCUAAGUAGAUUAGAUCAGGCUUGUGGAAUGUCAUCUCUUGAACUCCUUCUUUUUGAUCAAAAAGCCUGGGGACCUUUAUACCACCAAUAAUUAUGCACAAAUUCAGGACUUACUAAAAUUCUGGCCUGCUACUCUGCCAUGGAAGAGAUCAACAAUCACCAGAAGCAGAAGUUUAGGAAAGAGGGCAGAAAUUGGUUUUGGACUUCCCAAACUGUUCCUGCUUCAGUAUAUAAUCAGGUUUAGGGAUCUGAUUGGCACUGACAAGGAAAAUAUCUUGGAGGAGAGCUUGAUAUUCAGAGACAUGGCCAGAGAUGCUAUAAUGGUUCACUUGUACCCCCAGAGUCAAAUCCUUGCCAAUGCCCACACAGAUGGAGUCUGUGUGUGAGGAGGAGGGCACUCAGAGAGGGUCUGUCUGCCUUCUGGAUCCUUCUUCACUUCUGCGGCACCUGCUAUUUCUCUACUGAGGUUUCUUCUAGGCCUUUGCAACAUGUCUAUAACUUUGGGAAGAGUAAGAAUAAUCAAUAUCCUCCUUGCAGCCUUAAAUAUCAGGCCCUCAGAGUCCCAAUUGUGGCAGGCUCGUCUAUACAAGCUCUUUCAGUGACCUUAUCCAGGCUCUUGGUUUUAACCAUCUCUCUCUAAUCCCUGACUUGGGUCUAUCUCCAAAAUCAGACUGGCUCCAAUAACUUCUAGUUUGCAUGCAGUUGAAGGCCCCCAGAGGCACUUCAGACUCAAUGUGCUGUCUACAAGAGACACCCUUUACAUUCAAAGACACCAAUAGAUUUAGAGAUUUGGUAUCUCUAAGGAGAUUUGGCAUUUGCCAAAGAUUGGCAUCCCCAUAUAUGUGGGAGGAUGUGGAUGAGGAGGAGUCAGUGAGGACAAUUCAUCUUACUGGAGCUGACUGGGAGGACAAAGAGAUGGUGAGAGAUGGACAUAGUGGUGACUGUGAUGAUGGUGCUGAUGGUGAUCAAAGAGGAAAAUGGGGUGUGUUGGUAAGUUAUUUUUUGGUUGCAAAUUACAAAGAUCCAACUCAAACUAGCUUAAAAAUGCACACACAAUUUUUUAAAAAAAGAAAAAGAGAGAUUUUAUACUUUUACUGGCUCAAGGAACUAGGAAGUUGUUUCAGGAGUAGUAGGAUCCAGGUAUUCCAAUGGUGCCAUCUGUUAUAGACCGAGUUCCUUCAUAAAGGAGACCGAAGGUAACAGCUUGUAUGUAGGUAGUUUAUUGGGGAGCAGCAUUGAAAGGGGAUGCAGGAAAGCUGAGAAAGAUGCAAAUGAGUUAGCUGACACUGUGAGAAACCAGAGCUUAAUGCUAUGGUCUCUUCAGGGGAGCUUUGUAGAAUACAUUUCAGGAUGGACCUUCUAGGAGACAUAAGGGGAAGCAUUUAAUUAUCAGUACUGUGCCCCACUUAUCAAGUGUGGCCCCAUGUGUGUUGAUGCCCCCCACAUUUACAGGUUGCACAUUUGAAUGCUGAACAGGUUCCACAGGCAUCUCACAAGAGGGUAGCCUUAGGGUAGAAAGUGAAUUCAUUGCAGUCUCAGAGAAGUCUAAGGUGGAGAACAUUGCCAGGUUGCACCUGCAGAAGGCCCAUCAAAGCCAGCAUGGAAGUGAUCUCAGCAGCAGUGGGUGGACUAAGGGAAGAGGCCAAGAGGAUUUGAAGUAGACCAUAAAGCUUUCUUAUCCACCAUCAAUGUAUCUCAUCUCCCUGGCUCUUGCUCCAUCUCGGACUCUGCUUGCCUCUGCCUGACUCUCAGACAGUGUUAUCCAUGUGGUGAGAAGACAUCCCCAAGAAGCUCCAAACUUAUGUGGUACUUAGAGUUCAUCAUUGCAGAGAAAGAGACAGACCUGGUCAGCCCAUGUUUAAUGUUCAAAACAGAUUCUGAUUCUACUUGGAGCAUGUGCACAACACUGUAGGGGGGAGUCUAGGAAAGCAAAAGGCUUUUAGUCUGUCCUGCUUGGAUCACUUGGAGUUGGGGAUGGGCUAUUUCCCAAUGGAAGGUGUCUGGUUGUGGUGCAUGGAGUAUUGCUUGGAUCCACCUUCAAGAUUAAAGAGAAAACUUGAUGCCAAUAAAUUGCCUCAGCUUUAGAGCCAGAGUCAUAAUCUCCUUAGGGCAAUUCCUGGCCAAGGACCAAAUGAGGCAAUGCUAAAAAGGCCCUGGUUAUUUGUGCCCAAAAUAAGACUCCUCUAAGGGAAAUCUUUGUUCUGGCACUUCCAGAACAUGGGUUGAUGGAAAAAUGACCAGAUCAAUGUUACAGUCUGGAAUCUUCCCGUGCCAAAUCCUGCUUCCUCCCUUUUCUUUCUCAGGUGUUAUCCUCCAAUCAACCUGUUGCAUUCAUAACCUAUCUUAGUGCCUGCUUCCUGUUGAAUCCAGUUGACACAUAGGAAAAUAAAUAAGUAGCUGAUGUUCUCAGAGGACUUAAAAGAUGAAGGAAGGGAGGAGGAAGGAGGAAAAUACUAACUAUGCUUUGGAGAAAAGCACAGCUGCAGCCAGGCCUGCCUGUCCUCAUGGUGGCUUUGACUCUAUGUAGACCCUCUUGUAGAACUACAUGAAUUCCAGAGAUGACCUCCCACACCAGUUGCCUUUUUCCAAGUGGCAUGCCAGGGAAGGCGCUGAGGGUCCUUUGUGCAUGGGUUGGCCUUCCUAAACUGGAAAUCCAGGGACCAAGGAAAUGCAAGGAACCAUGUUAUUAACCUAGACUUGCAUGUUCUCAUUUUUCUGAGACUACUCUGUCUAAUGUGUCUCCAAACACCUGGUUUGUGCAUCAUUGGCCUUAGGUUUACAAAUUGGGAGUGAAUUUUAUGAGAAGGUGGCACAUAAAAUUAUGGGUCUAUAAAUGGCCAUCGUAAGCCAGCCAAGUAAAAGGCAUAAAUUCCAAGUCAUGUGGUAUGAUGAAACAGAGCUGAAAUUGCUAUUAUUUUCACUGGCAGGCAAACAAAAAUGAACAAAAUCCUUAUUCUUCGGAGUGUAGAGGAAUCUAAAUGCAUUCUCAUUGUGCCCUACAUGCAGGGGAGCAACAUAGAAGUUAUAGUUCAUCAAUCUGACCUUCUAAUCUUGGAUUUGAUAUGAAUACCAAUAAUAAUAGUUUUCUGUGGUGUCUUCAUCCUGGAAACCCAAUGUGCAUCCCUCAUUACUAGCAGUGUCAUAAAGCUUUUUCUGUGUCACUAAGGGGCAAAUUCAAGAUAACACUAUUUCAAUCAUGUUUGUAGCUGGUUAAAUUUAGCAAGCACAAGAUAAUACAAUUGGUACCUUGUCAUUUCAAGAAUUGAGCUCUUUUUAUAGCCAUCUUGUUAAAUCACAAACUUCAAGAAAGGUGUGUGACUUUAGCUAGUAAAAUAACUGUACUGAUCUUGUAAGAAUCCAAAAUUACAUGGGCAUCAUCUUAGACAGUUAGGUCUAGAAAGUGAGAGCAAACUAUUCCAUUAUGUUACAUUUUUUU